GGCGGAUUGAUUUAUCUGGAAAAACAAGGGAUUUGCAACCCCAUCGUGCUCGGUUCGAGUCCAGGAUCCGCCU
rnacentral:tRNA from 1 species